CCUGAGAAAGACAGACGUCAAGCAAGAACAACGAUUCAUCUUUUCAUAUCCAUGACUGGAGACAAGAAUCUGAUAAUCUGAAUCCUGUGAAUCUGAUGCUGAGAUGGCAAGCUAUACCCAGAUUGUGGAUGCAGUGUGGCCAACCGUAUGAUCCAGAUCGAACCUGAUUCGCAAAUCACGAAAACAUCAGACCCCAGUCCUGCCCGUCAGGAAGACAGGUAGUAAGGAACCUCCGCCUUCUGGCUGCACUCGAGAUGCAGCCACCCAGUCCCAGGCGGCGCUGCCGUAUCAAUGUUGCAAUGCCACUGCUGGCAUUGUAUUUUGAUGGCCACAGUGACAUGAGGGUGGACUUCAGGCUCACCCGAGAGUCAUUCAACGCCCUCAUGGCUGUGCUGGGCACUGACUGUGACCACGGUUGGGGCCCAGAGAUCUCCUGUCUAGUUUUUAUUUUUU
ensembl:lncRNA